rnacentral:rRNA from 1 species
AUGAACCAUGGCUUGGGAGCUGCCGCAGGGUGUGCGAAGUUGCAGAUUGAUUAUAUAGCAACAACCAGGAACUACCAUACAAUCUCCAUAUCACACAUUCCACCUAUGAGUAUGAAGAUCGGUGACAAGGCAAGAGCAAUCAUCACUAAGGUCUUAUAUGCUUAG